CUUCUGGAGCUAGCAUGUCUUGCCUAUCUUUGCUGAGUAAAACAGAGGGCUGAUUUGUCAUAUACAACUGGGAAUAAGUGGAAAUUAGAAUAUGCCUGAGAAAGACGGCGCUCAAUAAUGGGAAUGGGAAAGGAAGCAGUCGUCCAAGGGCUCAGGGCUGGUAAUUGCGAAAGCGAGUUCUUAGUCCCAUUGAUAACAUAAGGGACUGCCAGAGGGCUUUACUAAAGGGUUCAGUGCAUUCCCACCAAGUGCCUCCCCAGUGGCACUUCAGCGCUACAGCGAAAACGUCCUUUCACAGCCCGUGACAGAUGAUAUGAAGUGAGGAGGUAUUCAAACCUAAGCUCGGAGGGAUGGUGUGGAAUGGGAGCUCAGUGUUUUCUACAGCUUUAAUCAUCCGCUUAGCAUUCACAGUGCUUAAUGGGGCCAAAGUUUGGUCCUGCGACAAGGCCACAUUUGAUAAUGAGGUCCAGAAUCACUGUAUACCUCUGUACAAUCAAAGUAUGGCAAGCAGCAACUACCAGAAGGAAUGUCCUUGGCCCACCACUAAAGGUCACUAUGCCCAGCUGGAUGCAUGCGUGAGGAACGCGGCCGAUCACGCCGGAUGCAUGGAGACUUCCCUGAAGAACGAGCUCUUCCUGGAGCUCCACCGGACCUAUUUCUCACUGUGCUUCUUCAUGCAGGACCCCGACGUGCAUGUGGUAUUGCUGCUUGUGCUGCCCUGCAUCAUAACCACCUUCCUCUUGCCCUUCUGCUGCGCACACCUCACCAGCGCCGCCUACUGAGCCUCAGGGGCAGCGCAGCUGAUCCAGGGCCAGGGCCAGAGCCAGGGCCAGGGCCAGAGCCAGGGCCAGAGCCAGGCCCAGGGCCAGAGCCAGGUCUGGGGCAGCAACCGUGGUCCUGGAGCUGCAGCCAACUUUGUAGUCAACAUCUGCGUUUCCCUAAGGGCAUGGGGCAAGCACAAGUCAUUAUGUUCGCCAGAGAAUAAGUGUAGAACUAGUAUAUAGAUUUAGCAUCUGUACUAAGGUGUAUAACUAGAUGUAGCACCUGGGUUGCCUUUGGUUUUCUAAAAAAAAAAACAAAAAAAAACUAGAGUUUCGAGCAUUUGUGAAAUUGGGACUGUUCACUUUAAACAGUUGUGUAAGCAUAUUGGAGGUUGACGCCAUCCAUUGACUGUCCCCAAAGGAAAGCCCACAUAGAUGUGCAAAAGAAUAAAAUAUAGUAGGCUGCA